rnacentral:rRNA from 1 species
UACGUAGGGGGCAAGCGUUGUCCGGAAUCAUUGGGCGUAAAGAGCGUGUAGGCGGCCCGAUAAGUCCGCUGUGAAAGUCGAGGGCUCAACCCUCGAAUGCCGGCGGAUACUGUCGGGCUAGAGUCCGGAAGAGGCGAGUGGAAUUCCUGGUGUAGCGGUGAAAUGCGCAGAUAUCAGGAGGAACACCAACGGCGAAGGCAGCUCGCUGGGACGGUACUGACGCUGAGGCGCGAAAGCGUGGGGAGCAAACAGG